rnacentral:rRNA from 1 species
GACGGAGGGGGCUAGCGUUGUUCGGAAUUACUGGGCGUAAAGAGCGCGCAGGCGGUCCGAUCAGUCGAAUGUGAAAGCCCCCGGCUCAACUGGGGAGGGUCAUUCGAUACUGUCGGACUCGAAGGCAGGAGAGAGAAGCGGAAUUCCCGGUGUAGUGGUGAAAUGCGUAGAUAUCGGGAGGAACACCAGUGGCGAAGGCGGCUUCUUGGCCUGUUCUUGACGCUGAGGCGCGAAAGCUAGGGGAGCAAACGGG